rnacentral:rRNA from 1 species
AUGUAUCCACUGGCUUGGGCAGUAGUUGAGCAGGAAGCAAAUGAGACAUGGAAAUGGUUUAUUGGUUUGCUCAUUAAAGAUUUGAACAUUAACAACGAUGGAGAUGGCUGGGUGUUCAUAUCUGACCAGCAAAAGGGAAUUCUCAAUGCCAUGAAUGACUAUCUUCCAAAAUAA